GUAGGGUGCGAGCGUUAAUCGGAAUUACUGGGCGUAAAGCGUGCGCAGGCGGUUGUGCAAGACAGAUGUGAAAUCCCCGGGCUCAACCUGGGAAUUGCAUUUGUGACUGCACGGCUAGAGUGUGUCAGAGGGGGGUAGAAUUCCACGUGUAGCAGUGAAAUGCGUAGAGAUGUGGAGGAAUACCGAUGGCGAAGGCAGCCCCCUGGGAUAACACUGACGCUCAUGCACGAAAGCGUGGGGAGCAAACAGGAUUAGAUACCCUGGUAGUCCCACGCCCUAAACGAUGUCAACUAGUUGUCGGGUCUUAAUUGACUUGGUAACGCAGCUAACGCGUGAAGUUGACCGCCUGGGGAGUACGGUCGCAAGAUUA
rnacentral:rRNA from 1 species